rnacentral:rRNA from 1 species
ACAAGUAUUGAAGGUGAUGCCUGCCCGGUGACCCGAGAGGUUAAACGGCCGCGGUAUCCUAACCGUGCAAAGGUAGCGCAAUCAAUUGUCCCAUAAAUCGAGACUAGUAUGAAUGGCUAAACGAGGUCUUAACUGUCUCUUGCAGGCAAUCGGUGAAAUUGAUCUCCCUGUGCGAAAGCAGGGAUAAACACAUAAGACGAGAAGACCCUGUGGAACUUCAAAAUCAGCUGCCACCCCAAAAUACAUAAACACCCACCGGGUUCACUUACACAUAAGCCACUGGCACGCAUUUUUUCGGUUGGGGCGACCUUGGAGAAAAACAAAUCCUCCAAAAAUGGGAUCACCACUCCAAACUAAGAGCAACCCCUCAAAGUGCGAACAGCAACCAGACCCAAUAUAAUUGAUCAAUGGACCAAGCUACCCCAGGGAUAACAGCGCAAUCCCCUCCGAAAGUCCGUAUUGACGAGGGGGUUUACAACCUCGAUGUUGGAUC